UUAAAAAGCUCGUAGUUGGAUUUCGGCGGGCAUUGGUUGGUUUGAAUUGUUUCAACACUGACUAUUCUGCCCGUGUGUUUUGCCAGAAUUUAACGGGUGCUCUUCGCCGAGUGUCUGUUAGAGCUGGCAGGUUUACUUUGAAAAAAUUAGAGUGCUCAAAGCAAGCUUAAUCGCUUGAAUAUUCGUGCAUGGAAUAAUAGAAUAGGAAGUCGUUUCUAUUUUGUUGGUUCUCGGAGAUCGACUUAAUGAUUAAUAGGGACAGUCGGGGGCAUUUGUAUUCAAACGACAGAGGUGAAAUUCUUGGACCGUUUGAAGACAAACUACUGCGAAAGCAUUUGCCAAGAAUGUUUUCAUUAAUCAAGAACGAAAGUUAGUGGUUCGAAGGCGAUUAGAUACCGCCCUAGUUCUAACCAUAAACGAUGCCAGCUAGCGAUCUGUCGGCGUUUUAUUUUGACUUGACAGGGAGCUUCCGGGAAACCAAAGCGUGUGGGUUCCAGGGGAAGUAUGGUUGCAAAGCUGAAACUUAAAGGAAUUGACGGAAGGGCACCACCAGGAGUGGAGCCUGUGGCUUAAUUUGACUCAACACGGGAAAUCUCACCAGGCCCGGACACCAGAAAGAUUGACAGAUUGAUAGCUCUUUCUUGAU
rnacentral:rRNA from 1 species